UGUAGCCAUCUUUACAUAGUAAUUCUCUUUGCAGAGUGGAAGGCUGUUUUAAUUCCUCGUUUUUCCUCUCUGUCUACACGAAGAUCCCCUCCCACUCCUCCCAGUUCUUCUGCUUCAGAUUAAACUUUUUCAGGAUGUUGCGACGCCAAAACAUGCAUUCUAACAGGAAAUCAGCAUCAAAGGUAAUGGGCUCACAUACAUCUUUGAUGCUUUGAAACCAGAGGAAGAGAAGUAACUGUUUAAUUUACAACAGUUAUUGCGGAGGAACGGAGGAGGGGAAGGAGCGAGGAAGAAGGCGACUGAGGGAUGUGAGGGGAGCGCGCUCCCACAGGGCAGCGUGCGCCGGCCUCCCUCCAGCGGCGGCCUUGGAGACUCACCGAGGCCUGGCCUAGCCGCCCGCACCUCACGGGGGAAGAAGAAAAACAACAUUAAAAAAAUAAGUGAGGGGAGUUGCUUUCAGUCGCAAAAUGGAAAUAGCCACAAAUAACAUGACGCUCUACCACACAGAUUUCUGUCACACCGCCUUCCGAAAAAGAAAUUGAAAUUUUCAAGGAGAACAGGGUUUUUUCAGUAAUGCUGUGCUGCAACUGUCCGUUCAGUAAAAACGCUCUCUGUGUUUGUGUUUUAAACAGUAGACAACACCUGCACACCUCCACGCUCACCUUUACAGAAACCGAAGCACAAAUUCAUGCCAAAAGAACUGUGGAGAUGUACUCCGAGCCGCGGACACCCCACCCAUCCAGCAGCCCUCCGCCAAGAACAAGCAAUGACCUAAGGAUGGCUGCGUGUGGCACGUACAGCCCCUCGGUCUGACACAGCGUCAGGGUACGCGGGUACACACUUGCUUCCUCUGCCACCGACUCCAUCUGAUUGCCAUCAGAUUCAAAACUUUUGAGCAAGAAGCAGAAAUUUAUGGCAAUUUUUUUCCACAUUCAAAAAUGGUAUGGACAAGUACUCCCAUUUCCUCUUUUGCAAACCUGUGGACUGUUUAUUUUCAUUGAACCUGUUUUUCUUGGUAAAUAAUAGAAAAGUAUACAUUUCCUUUGACAAUCUUUUUAACCACACUUUAGAAUGCUUGAGAUAAAGACUGAUCCCUUCUGAACCAGUUUAUGAUAUCAAAAUAUUUUUUUCAUUCCCCCAAAAAAAGAGUUUUGUCUGGGGUCAGUUCUCCUAUCAAGCAACAAGGUAAUCUUUAGGAUGGCCUAAGACAUUGUGAUCUACUGGAGCUUUGGAUCUGAUAUCUUGUGUAAUCUACUACAAGAGACAUAUCUUUGAGACUCAGUUUCUCUUGUUGUAAAAAGGUACAAUGGUUCUCUGUCUUGAAAAACAACUCUAAGGUCUGUGGAUGAAGUAAACCAUACGAUAAUUGCCAUCAGUCACAGCAGAAUCCAAGAAACUAACAGCAAAAUGUGGCUCAUCUCCCAGAUUAGUAUUUGGACAGCAAACAUAGAAACAAAUAAUCCAACAAAAUAAACCUGUUUUCACAGGAAUCGCAUGUAAUUACAAGAAUAUUCAUUAUACUUUUUGGAGGAUAGAAGAAAAUAAACAUGAGUGGACAGAUAUCUAACUUCUCUUACAGAGUUGUAUUUUGUUUGUAAAGCCCCUACUCCUCCUACUCAGAGGAAUCUUUGAUAAUUCACAUGUGAAAUUAAAGGCAUCUUAUUUAUUCAGUUAUUUAUUAUUCUCUGUAAAAUGAGUUAGGAAUUUGUCCCUGUGAAUAAUGUUAGCCAUAAUAGUUAAUUUACUCCUAUUCAUUGGCAGUAAUAAAAAUGUACAAGGGGAUGCAGAAACAUUAUUAUUUCUUGCUUGAAGUGCAAUUUCAUGUGGUGAGAAAAACAUGCUAAUAUGCUGCAAAGUGCUACAGGAAUUUAGUUCUCAAAGGAAUGGCGGUAUUAAAUGUAUUCUGACAAGAAGGGGCUUUGGAAGGGAAACAUUUAUCUUCAUAAAGUCAUUAAAUUUACUGAGCAGCACCGCAUUCUUACUGCAAUCUGCUCACUCCAUUAAAGGCAGAGCUGUGGAACGGUCUCUGCUGUAUUAGAGGCAUCUACAUUUUUGAAAAUUGUAAUAAUGGGGGGAAAGAAGACUCAAGGAUGGGGAAAUAAUAUAUCCUUCUUUGAAGAACCGUCUGCAUAAAAAGAAACUCAGAAAUCACCUCUGGAAAAAAAAAAAAAAAAAGAAAAAAGGGGGGGGUGGGGAAUAAAGAACAAGUUCACUGCCUACCUCUAGAAAGAAAUAUAGAGGAACUUUGGAAGAUAAGACUUUAAAACACUGAAAUGAGGACUAAUGGUUUGGAAGGCAUUGACAGCACAUAACUGACAUGUGAGGGGUGCUCAAGGUAAAGGGAUGGGAAGAGCAGCUUUGCAGAUUCAUAUUUGUCCUGUAACUGCCUGCUCAUGUUCAAGUUUACGGUGAAUGGAAUUGGAGCAAAUAGGUAACUCUUGAAAUUGAAGAUGCUGUUCUCAGUGUCAUUUCCUCUGCAGUUGGUUACUUUAUUUCUCUUGCUCCUUGAUAGCUAGAUAUGUUUAAAGAAAAAAGAUAAACCCACUCUGAAUAUGGCAGUGCUUCAAUAGCACUUUAGGUGAAGUCUACUGUGCCACACAAUGCAAGGGCCUGGGUCAAAGUCACACCACCACGACCUACUACAUAACUGAAGACGAAAACUGUUCCAGCAGAAGCAGGAGAAAUCCACCAGCCAGGAGUAAACUAGUAAGGGUUAUUUGUAUCAAGAACUUAGCAUGCUAACUCCAAAAAGAAAAUAGCCCUGAAAUAAUUUAUUUCUUUGAAAAUUAAAAUUGUUGCAUGGCAGGCACCAGAACCAGGACACACACGUUGUUCUUCUCUAGCCUCAUAACUUCUUUAAUGAUUUCUGAUACACCCACUGGAGAAGCAAAAUACUCGAAUGGGCUUAGAUUACAGCAAACAUCAAAACCAGAUAGCUAAUUAACAACCAGUCAAAUAUGACAGUAAAGCUGCAAAACCAUAUUUCUGAGUAACAGCCAGAGCCAUCAACAUCUUUACUGCAUGCUUUUUACAUUGAUAUCACAGAGCACCAAAGCUCUCCAGGAUCUUGUUUGAGAAGCAAGGUAGUAGAAAACAAUAACGUUAACAACACAAACUGACCUGCCCUCCUAACCACAAAGCAAUAUGGCACACAGAAACAUCCCGGCUCGAACAACUGCAUGAGCCUCAGAACCUGAACCUCACACCCAGCAUGAUUCCACCUGGCUGAAAUGAAAGAAGGGCAAUGUUCUUCACACCCCUAUUCACUGCAGUAGGAACUAUGAUAUCUCCCUUAAUUGAUUUUGUUCUUCUCACAUCUACAGAGAUCUCAAAAACUCAGAAAUGUUUUUGCUUGCCUCAUGAAAGCACAACAUGCACGGCGUGGCUCAUGUUGAUAGAGCUGACCAACCCCAUUUGCACAGAGGUCAAGUGCACCAGGUUUCAAGGGCCUGUCAAGUGGUGCAGAUAACAAACUUCUCUUCUAGCUUUUCCUCUGUGAGCAGAAAAUCACUAUCAAGGCUCAGAAGACUAGGUGUUUACUGAUUUCUGGACCUAGUAGGUCUGGAGGAUGGCUUUCUAAUGGCUUUACAUCACAAGUACAUCAGCUCUGUGGGUUAGUGUUCCGGCACACUAACAACACCUGGGUUAAAGGUCUGAACCUCCUGGCUUUGUUCUAAGUGUACCAGAUAAAUAUAUCGAGUAGAACUUAGAUAGCCUGCAGAAUAAUUGUACAAUCAUAACAAUUUCUGAUACACGCAUAGCCAGUUGCAACCUUGCUGUAACAGGGAAGGAAAAAAAAUCUACAUCAGGAAACCACAGACUUCCCUAAUAGGUUACAGUGCAUAAUUGAGUAUAAAGAAUAGUUAUUGCUUGAACUACAGUUGAACUGAGAUUUCCAGCUUCCCAAGUAAAUGUUCUGCUACUGCUGCUAAGCUAUAGUAAUAAUUUCUAAUUGUGUGGGUUUUAAGUGAAAACAGUAAGAAAUGCUGUUCGAUUGGUUACCGUAAACUAUUCCUUCCAACGAUACCAGGUCAGCAGAACGAGCCCUGGAAAUCAGACAUCUUUUACCUAAACAACACCAGCAGAAGCUGGAAACUAAUGAAGCAAUACUGCAGUAGCAUCAUGCCCAUUACACAAUUAGAGGGACAGCAUUGGACACCAUGAAAUUGUCACACACCUUGCUAAUGAACCAUGUUUUACACACAUUUAAUUAAUUAAUUAUGGCUGAAGUCAUUCAUUGCUAGCCAGCAACUGCUUUAUUAUACACAAACCUGACCACCUUACAAAUACCACACUGGAGUGCUAAUGAGCUAUUAAGUGGGACUGCACGUUACCAGCAAUUUUGUGGGAAAUCAAGUAAUAAGAGAUCAAAUAUCAAAUAAAAGAGCUUUUAAUC